rnacentral:misc_RNA from 1 species
AACCAUUCUCACCUGCGGCUAGACCUGCGGAAGGAUCAUUACCGAGUUUACAACUCCCAAACCCCUGUGAACAUACCAAUUGUUGCCUCGGCGGAUCAGCCCGCUCCCGGUAAAACGGGGCGGCCCGCCAGAGGACUCCUAAACUCUGUUUCUAUAUGUAACUUCUGAGUAAAACCAUAAAUAAAUCAAAACUUUCAACAAUGGAUCU